UACGAAGGGGGCUAGCGUUGCUCGGAAUCACUGGGCGUAAAGCGCACGUAGGCGGAUCUUUAAGUCAGGGGUGAAAUCCCAAGGCUCAACCUUGGAACUGCCUUUGAUACUGGGGAUCUCGAGUCCGGAAGAGGUUGGUGGAACUCCGAGUGUAGAGGUGAAAUUCGUAGAUAUUCGGAAGAACACCAGUGGCGAAGGCGGCCAACUGGUCCGGCACUGACGCUGAGGUGCGAAAGCCAGGGGAGCGAACGGG
rnacentral:rRNA from 1 species